rnacentral:rRNA from 1 species
UACAGAGGUCCCGAGCGUUGUUCGGAUUCACUGGGCGUAAAGGGUGCGUAGGGGGCAUGGUAAGUUUGAUGUGAAAGCUCAGGGCUCAACCCUGAAAUGGCAUUGAAUACUACUGUGCUGGAGGUUUGGAGGGGGGACUGGAAUUCUUGGUGUAGCAGUGAAAUGCGUAGAUAUCAAGAGGAACACCAGUGGCGAAGGCGAGUCCCUGGACAACACCUGACACUGAGGCACGAAAGCUAGGGGAGCAAACAGG